rnacentral:rRNA from 1 species
AUAUCAAUAAGCGGAGGAAAAGAAACCAACAGGGAUUGCCCCAGUAACGGCGAGUGAAGCGGCAACAGCUCAAAUUUGAAAUCCGGCCCCCUUCGGGGUCCGAGUUGUAAUUUGCAGAGGAGGUUUCGGCGUCGGCCCCGGGUUAAGUCCCCUGGAACGGGGCGCCCUAGAGGGUGAGAGCCCCGUACUCACCCGGGCGCGCUUCGCCGUGUGAAAGCUCCUUCGACGAGUCGAGUUGUUUGGGAAUGCAGCUCCAAGCGGGAGGUAUAUUUCUUCUAAAGCUAAAUACCGGCCAGAGACCGAUAGCGCACAAGUAGAGUGAUCGAAAGAUGAAAAGCACUUUGGAAAGAGAGUUAAAAAGCACGUGAAAUUGUUGAAAGGGAAGCUCUUGCCGCCAGACUUGCCGUGGUUGCUCAGUCGCCCCCCGGGGCGGUGCACUCUUCCAUCGGCGGGCCAGCGUCGGUUCGGGCGGCCGGAUAAAGGCCCCGGGAAUGUGGCACCUCUCGGGGUGUGUUAUAGCCCGGGGUGUGAUGCGGCCGGCCCGGUCCGAGGCACGCGUUCGCGAGGACGCUGGCGUAAUGGCCGCAAGCGACCCGUCUUGAAACACGGACCAAGGAGUCUAACAUCUGUGCGAGUGUUUGGGUCUCACACCCGUACGCGCAAUGAAAGUGAACGGAGGUGGGAACCCCUCCGAGGGGGGCGCACCAUCGACCGAUCCUGAUGUCUUCGGAUGGAUUUGAGUAAGAGCACAGCUGUUGGGACCCGAAAGAUGGUGAACUAUUCCCGGAUAGGGUGAAGCCAGAGGAAACUCUGGUGGAGGCUCGCAGCGGUUCUGACGUGCAAAUCGAUCGUCAAAUCUAGGAAUAGGGGCGAAAGACUAAUCGAACCAU